AUUUAAAUAAUUUAAAAUUAAAAUAUUGGUUUGUGGAGUCAAAAAUGUUGGAGUAAACUUUAAAUA
rnacentral:tRNA from 1 species